rnacentral:rRNA from 1 species
UACGGAGGGUGCAAGCGUUAAUCGGAAUUACUGGGCGUAAAGCGUGCGCAGGCGGUUUGUUAAGUCUGCUGUGAAAUCCCCGAGCUCAACUUGGGAAUUGCAGUGGAUACUGGCAAGCUAGAGUACGGCAGAGGGGGGUGGAAUUCCACGUGUAGCAGUGAAAUGCGUAGAGAUGUGGAGGAACACCGAUGGCGAAGGCAGCCCCCUGGGCCGAUACUGACGCUCAGGCACGAAAGCGUGGGGAGCAAACAGG